GAUGGGGAUGCGUCUGAUUAGCUUGUUGGCGGGGUAACGGCCCACCAAGGCGACGAUCAGUAGGGGUUCUGAGAGGAAGGUCCCCCACAUUGGAACUGAGACACGGUCCAAACUCCUACGGGAGGCAGCAGUGAGGAAUAUUGGUCAAUGGGCGAGAGCCUGAACCAGCCAAGUAGCGUGCAGGAAGACGGCCCUAUGGGUUGUAAACUGCUUUUAUGCGGGGAUAAAGUGAGCCACGUGUGGCUUAUUGCAGGUACCGCAUGAAUAAGGACCGGCUAAUUCCGUGCCAGCAGCCGCGGUAAUACGGAAGGUCCGGGCGUUAUCCGGAUUUAUUGGGUUUAAAGGGAGCGUAGGCCGUCUGAUAAGCGUGUUGUGAAAUGUCGGGGCUCAACCUGGGCAUUGCAGCGCGAACUGUGAGACUUGAGUGCGCGGGAAGUAGGCGGAAUUCGUCGUGUAGCGGUGAAAUGCUUAGAUAUGACGAAGAACUCCGAUUGCGAAGGCAGCCUGCUGUAGCGCAACUGACGCUGAAGCUCGAAAGCGUGGGUAUCGAACAGGAUUAGAUACCCUGGUAGUCCACGCGGUAAACGAUGGAUGCUCGCUGUUUGCGUCUGACGUAAGCGGCCAAGCGAAAGCGUUAAGCAUCCCACCUGGGGAGUA
rnacentral:rRNA from 1 species